GCCGGGGCAGGAGCGAGGGGCUCUGCUCGGAUGCGGAGGGAGAGGGGCCCGCGGGUGGAUCCGGGCUCCGCCGGCGCUGGGCUCGGCUCCGGCGCCUCGGGAAGCUCUGCGGGACCGGAGCCGAGGCCCGGCGGAGCAGCCAGGAGCCCGCCCGGCCGCGAAAGGUCCGGGCUGAAGUUCCUGUUCUGCCUGAUUCGCUGCGAGGACUUUGAGCGGAGGCUCCAAAAUCCCGGCCUGGGCUGUGCCCGGCUCACGCCACAGCCGCUCCCGGUGGCACCAGCAGGGACACGAUCCCCGGGCCUCUGACCGCCGGCAACCCGCCCGGGGCGCUGGAACUGCUGCUCCAAGGGGGACCUGACCCCUCCUGGGCUCGCUGGACGUCUCGGCUAAAUCCAUUCGGACUGGGCCCCGAUUUCUGUCGCCCAAGCAGGUUGUGCGUGGCCGCAGAGCCGUGAGGGAAGAUCGGAGGAGUGAGGCAGAGGCUGGAAAAGGAAACAAAACCUCCAAAGGCUCCGCGGGGCUGGAGGGCUCCGAUGGCACCCCGGGGGUGGCAGGGAAAUAAAUUACGCCUUGA